CGCCCGCCCCCGCCUCCGCCGCACCCCCCGGGGCGGGCGCCGGGCCGCGGUGACCGCCGGCUGGUGCGCUGCCCUCGCCUCCCCCAUUGUUCCUACUGUCUUUUUGCCUUUUGUUAUUUGCACUCGCAUUGUGUUGUUUGUCUCUGAAGCCGCCUCAUGACCAGCAAAGGGAUUUCACCUCGUCCUUGAGAGCCACACGGGGAGCGCGAGCGAGCGAGAGACGGGGGGAGAGGGACACGCGCGCGCGCACACACACAGACACACACACACACAGACACACACACACACACAGAGUGAAAAAGGCGAGCGACCAAAACCCAUCUCCAGUCUCCUCCCGGGGGCCCCCAGCCCGCCACUGUGCCACUUUGCAUCCCACGCCAGAGGAGACAUUAAGGAGACCCGGUAAGCUUGAGCUAAGAGCUGGGGGAUGAAACAACGUUUACCAGCCUAAUGCACAAAUUGGCUUUUUAAUCAGUCCAUGGUGUGAAGACACACUUCAAGAGGAUCCUUAAAAGUCUUGGACAAGCCUCCCCGCAUGUGGCAGGUAUGUCUCUGUCUAUGCACCGAGUGUGCAAGAAAUAUAACUUUCUUUAUUCUUCGAUGGCUAAAUCUAAAUUAUAUUUAGAUCCUUCAUUUAGUCAUGUAGCCUCAAUCUGAUGUUGCCCCUAAAUUCUGGAUGAGUUUUUAAGGUACCAAGCUCUUGAGGGGUGAUAUACUUUCUCCUUGGCUGUCAUCUCUUCAUUAGCCACAUCUGUCCUCUCAUCUCUUGUCAGGACUUAUGGGCCACUGCUGAAGCGUACCUUGAUCUUCCUUCUGCUCUCCUUCUCUUAGCUUCUUCCAGGUA
rnacentral:lncRNA from 1 species